GAAAUGCGAUAAGUAAUGUGAAUUGCAGAAUUCAGUGAAUCAUCGAAUCUUUGAACGCACAUUGCGCCCCUUGGUAUUCCGAGGGGCACGCCUGUUCGAGCGUCAUUUCAACCCUCAAGCACAGCUUGGCUUUGGGAGAGGUCCCCGGGACCCUCCCGCAACCCGUUGGCGGCACCGUCCGGCUUCUGAGCGUAGCAGAAAUCCUCGCUCUGGGAGUCCGCGGCGGGCGCCUGUCGCAACCAAAAACACCUAGAGUUUGACCUCGGAUCAGGCGGGGAUACCCGCUGAACUUAA
rnacentral:misc_RNA from 1 species